AGAAAAACGGGAGUAACUCCCCUCCAUUUCCUAGUCUCUCCGUUUAUCCAAGUUCCUACUUGGAUUAGAGACACUUGUCAUGAUUAAAAAUAAAUGGAUGAAAUUAAUAAAAUAAAGCCCUAACUAUGAUUAAAGUAUUUAAUUACUUCCUUUAUCCGUUCCUAAAUAAUAUAUUUUGUCUCGCUUAGCGCUAGAGCUUCCCAUAAUUUCUCCUUCUACGCGUCAAAUACAUCUGCUCCGAAGGAAACACCGAAAAUCAUGGUAGCGGAGAAAAUCUUUCAGAUUUUUACCAUGAAAAUCCAGUCCUUGAAGUUAAAAAUCAAUAGAGAAAAACACAAGUGGAAAAACAUAGAACAAGACAGCAAGUCGUGGAACUUCAUUUUUCUGGAAAUAACUGCUCUGAAAUUCUCGUCAGAUUUAUGGAGAUCCCAUCUCAAAAUGAACAUAUGGAUGUUUCUCAUUUAUUUGAGCCAACAAAACUUGGUAUGGAAUUUGAUUCAGAAGAACAUGCAUACGAAUACUACAACAAAUAUGCUGCUACAAUUGGGUUUAGUGUUAGAAAGGAAUAUGCAAACAAAAGUAAAGUCCACGGAUAUGUGACUUCGAGAAAAUUUACAAUUAUAAAGAAGGUUAUAGAGAAAGAGACAAGCGAGAAGCGAUGGUCAAGAAACCUAGAAAGGAAACUAGGACGGGUUGUUUAGCUCACAUGGUCGUAAGUCAUAAAUCAAAUGGGAAGUUUUCUGUCAUUUCAUUUGAAGAGAAGCACAAUCAUCCUCUCGUUCCUCCAUCUCUAGCUCACAUGCUGCCAUCGCAAAGAAAUAUUAAACUUUCUCAAGCAUAUGAAAUUGACUUAUUGGAUGAUUCAGGAAUAUGUCCUAAAUCAUCUUUUGACUAUGCUUCUCGUCUAGCUGGGGGAAAAGCUUCUUUAGGUUAUACAAAGAGGGAUCACAUAAACUAUCUUCGUGACAAAAGAAAAGAGAGUUUAAAGCAAGGAGUGGCUCGUAGUUUGGUCGAUUAUUUUGAAAAAAGAGUAAUAAAAGAUCCAUCUUUUCGAUUUUCUUUACAAUUGGAUGAUGAUGGUUUGAUAACAAAUGUUUUCUGGGCUGAUGCUAAAAUGAUAAGGGAUUUUCAGAUUUAUGGUGAUGUUGUAUCAUUUGACACAACAUAUAGAACAAAUAAGGAGUAUCGACCAUUGGCUUUGUUUGUUGGAUUAAAUAAUCACGGGGAAAUGGUUGUAUUUGGUGCUGCCCUUUUAUAUGAAGAAACAGCUGAAGCAUUUGAAUGGCUUUUUACUGUAUUUUUUAGAGCUAUGUCUGCAAAUAAGCCACAAACAUUCAUCACAGAUCAAGAUCCUGUAAUAUGUUUAGCAGUCUCAUUGGUGAUGCCACAAACAUAUCAUCGUCUAUGUAUAUGGCAAUUGGAACAAAAUGCAUUUAAACAUCUUAACCAUAUCUUUAGAGCUCAUAAAUCAUUUCCGAGUGAUUUUAGCAAAUUGCUUUAUUAUUACGAGUAUGAAGAUGAUUUUCUAAAUGCAUGGGAGGAAAUGCUUGAAAAAUACGACCUUAAGGAUAAUAGUUGGUCGAAAAACACCUUUGCUAUAAGGGAAAAGUGGUCCAUGACAUAUGGUAGAAAUAUAUUUUCAGCUGGUAUGCGAAGUACACAGUUGAGUGAAAGUUUCAAUGGAUCACUAAGGGGCUACCUGAAAUCAGAUUUAGAUAUUGUACAGUUCUUUAAGCAUUUUCAAAGAGUUGUUGAUGAUAAGCGUGCUAAUGAAAAUAAGUCAAAUUUUGACAUGACCCAACGAAUAUUUGUUUUAAAGGUUAAGCUUCCUUUAUUGAUCCAUGUGAGAGAAAUAUAUACUGCAACCAUAUUUGAUUUGUUCGAAAAGGAGUGGGAAAAGUCAUUACUUGUCUCUAUAAAUGGCUUUCAUGAUGAAGGAGAAUUAUGUAAAUACAAUGUUAGCACGCAUGGAAAUCGCAGAGAGCAUGUAGUAGCAGUGAAGUGCUCUACAAAAGUAGUCUCUUGCAGUUGCAAAUUGUUCGAAUUUUCGGGUGUACUAUGUGGACAUGCUCUAAAGAUUCUGGACACAUUAAAUGUCUAGGAUAAGAUUCCUGACCAUUAUAUAUUAAAAAGGUGGACAAAAGAUGUUACCAACUUGGUUGCAAUGGAGAUUAAAGUGUUUACUGAGGGAAGUGAUCCAAAAGUUGAAGUUAGUACAAGGUAUAGACAUUUAUGCCAAACUCUUGUCCAAAUUGCAAGUGAAGCUUCAGAAUCCAGAGAAGGAUAUGAGCUGGUUGCAGAGUAUUCCAACGAGAUAAUUGCAAAGUUAAAGGAAGUAAAAACAAAAAAUGAAUCUCAUGAAAGUCCACCAGUUCUAAGCAAAGUUCUCCAUGAUGAGACAAUAUCUGUUGACAGUGCAAAUGUCACAAAGGUGACAGGGUUAAAGAAGAAGCAACCAACUCGUCGCUCCAAUACUCUACCAAAGAGUUUUGUGGAAAAGACCAGGAAGAAGAAGAAUAAGAUUCAAUCGCCAAUAUCCCCUCCAUUGCAAAUUGUCCAACAUGUAAGUCACCUUGCAGGCCUCCAAGCACCAUGUCCGCCAUUGUCUAAUGCCACAACGAAUACGGGAUUGGGAGGAGGAAAUUCUUACCCAUGGUAUUCUUCAGAAUCAUCUCAGCUAACAUCUCAUGGAAGUCUAUCUCAACUCCUAAGAGAUAGUAUAAUUUAUUUUUGUGAUUUUAUGUCCUUAUUUUUUUAAAUAAUACUCUCAUAUGAAUUAUUUCACUUGCAGGAUAUUUCACUUGAUAAUUUAAACAAGUUCUCUCAAGGUUGAUCGCCAAUAUCAUGAAAGAACAAAGGUUGCAUAGCAAUAUAACUUGCAUUGUCACCACAAAGAUGAUUUCAGAACUUCUAUUUGUUCCAAAACAAUCAGUGACUGUUUCCAGCUUUGGAGUGUAGUUUAUAAAUGCUUCCAUAUUGAAAAAUAAGAUUCUCUGUUAUGACAAAGAUCAAUAUUGAAAAAUAUGAUUCUCUGUUGGUGAAUUUAUCUUGCCGCGCUCUUUCAUUACUGAA